rnacentral:rRNA from 1 species
UUGAUCUCAAAUCAGGUAGGACUACCCGCUGAACUUAAGCAUAUCAAUAAGCGGAGGAAAAGAAACUAACAAGGAUUCCCCUAGUAACUGCGAGUGAAGCGGGAAGAGCUCAAAUUUAAAAUCUGGCGUGCCUCUGGUCGUCCGAGUUGUAGUCUGGAGAAGCGUUUUCCGUGUUGGACCGUGUAUAAGUCUCUUGGAACAGGGCGUCAUAGAGGGUGAGAAUCCCGUCUUUGACACGGACUACCAAUGCUUUGUGAUGCGCUCUCAAAGAGUCGAGUUGUUUGGGAAUGCAGCUCAAAAUGGGUGGUAAAUUCCAUCUAAAGCUAAAUAUAGGCGAGAGACCGAUAGCGAACAAGUACCGUGAGGGAAAGAUGAA